rnacentral:rRNA from 1 species
GAUUCUAUGUUACUGCACCCGGUAGUUUGACGUGUUUAGUAUUUGAUCUGGUUCCCACCUACGAAGUGGCCAUGGAGACCGGUAGCCAUUUUUUUUCUAAACUCGAUCUACACCACAGUGAACGAGUUACCACCGUUCUGGUCGAGGACCUCUACUGAAACGCGGGUAAUUGAGACCUUGCUCGCUCGUCGGGGACUAAGGGGUAACAGGCACCGGAGGGCUCGGCGGCUAGGGGUACCGGAGGUCACUCGACGGCGGCAGCGCCUUCUUUAGGUGAGGCUGGUGGUAUACGCGGGAGCCGCUGCUGGAGGACGCGCUCCACAACGAGGCGGACGGGAGGGAGGGCUGGGAGCAGGCGCGGCGCGAUUGGACGGGGCGAAAGGAGGUGCGGCAGGCGAGCAGGGGGCGCAAGGCGGCGGCGAAGGCGCUGGAGGUGGGCCGGGGCGAGGACCCGCAGAAGGAGCUGUAGAUGCCCGGGCGGUACGGGCGGAAGCACGGGCAGGCGGCGGCCAGGCUGGGCCUGGUGCGGCGCCGGCAGGCGGCGCGGCUGCAGAAGGAGUGGGCCCAGGGGCUUCUGCUUCUUCUUCCGCCUCCGCUUCUGCUUAACCUUCAGCCUAUGCAGCUGCCGGGGCCUACCAACUACUGCCUCACGGCGCUACCCAUGCACGAAGAGACGGUGGACGAGUGGUUCGCCCGCCGGCAGAUGCUGGGGGAGUGCGCCCCGGACGUAGAAGAGAGUGGCGGCGUGCGUCUCUAGACGCGUCUUCUGGGGCUUCACCGGCUCCAACUCAAGGUGCAGGAGUGGAGGGUUCUCCUGGCGGCCAGCGAGGCGAACGAGACGUAGACGUUCCUUUCCUCUCGUCGGUUCCAGCGAGAGAAGAGGCGCCUGUCGUCCCUCACCGUCUAGAGGGGUCUUCGCCCCUCGGACGUCGACUGCCGUUCUCCGUUACCAUGCGAACAGUUGCCCACACAGAUGACCCGUAGACGUCUGUUAUAGGUACACGAGUUGUGGCGCUGUGACGUGAAGAGGGCCUACCUAGGCGGCGGCGUAUACGUUGUGUCGAUGAUGUUCCCACAGUUCCAGCCGCUCUGGUCACUACCUUUCGAGACACAGCGGACCCGUUGACUAGAUGACGAAUUCCAAACCCAGACCUCUCGGUGGCGGCGGCCACAGCUGUUAACCUACGGCCUGUGUCUGUUUAGCUACGACCUACUCUAGGCACUUAACCUCCACGGUACAAAUCUACUUCUGGGACAUGACCUCCAAUUCCGUUAGUAGCCACCGUAGCACAUAAACAGACGGAUGCUCCGUAGCUCAGGGUCACGAACGACCAACGAUAGGAAGACGUGACUUUGUCUCUUCGACUUGUUCCAGACGGGAUAGUGGUUGAGACUAAAAAAGAUAGGGAUAAACUACCGCACCGGAGGAGAAGACAUACGUUGUUCCACUUGAGAGAACCGAUCUUCGGAUCUUCACCGAACUGAUCAGUCUCCUCAUUUUUUUGAUCUUGAGUCCAUUAAAAUAGCCGUGAUGCCUAUAAUGCAAAACAAUAGACUGACUGCUACUAUAGAAACGAUGCACAUUCAGUUCUUAAGUUCUACAGGUCCAGGUCAGGUCCACAACAACCCUUAACGUUCAAUAAUAAAGGCGACCGAACAAUAGUAAUACUCGUUUACUACGGGCACCAUAUUUUUGAACCGUCUGUGGUCAUCAAAUCAGGUAGUUGAGGGUCAUAAUUGCUAGCUGUGGGAUUUGAACCGUCCAAUCUCGUAUAUACCAGGAUACACAAGGUGCGGGUAACGAAACGAUCACGUAUAUACAAGGACAUAAUACAGCUGCACCGAAGCGACCACGAGCGAAUAGGUGAAACCAGAGACCUAAGAACAAGGACACACGUCUCCGCCUCUGUCCCCCCCACGCUCGUCCCCAGUCUGUGGGGGGAUAAACGCGUUAACACGAAUGAGGAACCGACGAAGUACAAUACACGAUAGUCGACCCACUUGGAUCAGUACAAUAGAUGAGUGCAAAGACUAACAGUCGAACAGGUGAUACUUAAAUGCUUCUUUGACUUAAAUUUAUUGAAUAAAGAGAAGUUAAACGAUAGCUACUUCAUAUUAAAACAAAUGACGAUCACGAUUCGACGUGGGUAGGCCGUAUACCAAUGGACCUCCCAUGCCCGUACUCGUCUAAAAACACGUACAACCGUACCCAUUCCCACCCCAAAACACAGACACUCGUUGAACCCGCACCCAUACGCUAGGGCCAUGUUAACAACCAUCACAUUUUACUAAGUACUGUUGUGACUCCGAGG